UUUUUUUUUUUAUUUUCUACAAGGAACAUGUAUUACUCGUGGAAUAAUAAAUUAAGUUUUUGGCACAAAGCAAGACACAAGCAAUUAAAUAAGCUGACAGAUCAAUCGUGAGAGGAGGGCUACUUUUUCUGCUUCCACAUGACCACCAGCUGCAGAAUUCAGCAUUCUCCUCCAAUGGGUUGAGAGCAAACUCCUCGAUGUUUUUCUACAAAGGACAGAUUCUAGUCAACAAAUUAAUCAUAUUAGCCCUGAAAGUAAGUCUUUGGCCUACAGAGAAAUGAGACCGGCCUAAAAGAAAUCAGAGGAGACUAAAUGAAAAUCAGGAGACAGACUCGGAAGAAACGCAACACAAUCACCUGGCCCCUUGCACGUCUUAGCUCCAACCCUGCAUGGGAACUGCCGCCCGAGGGACAGCCAGGGCGGAUGGCUGGGGCCGUGAGGCUUCAGGAAGAUGUGAGGAGGUAAGGAUGGCAGCAGUGAGAAAGAGGUGGUACCGGGAGUACAGGUGCGAGAGGACAGCCCCUCCAGCUCCGUAAGAUGAGAAUAAGCUAGCUGACCAUCAAAGCCAAAGCUGAAGGUUGAGCUAAAGAGCAGCCGUUUGUCUCUGGCACGGAGGGCUACGGUUUCUGAGCUGGAAACGGGUGGCCAAAGGCCCCUCAUGCAAAUGAGGUCAGAGUCCCUACCUGAGCCAGAGAGGAGAUGAAGAUGCUACCAACCACCACAAGCUGAUGGCCCCCUUUCUGAGCAAAGUGGCCAGAUGGGGUUUCAUGACCAUAGGCGAGCAUGUUCUGUAGCAGGAGCCCUUCCCCCUGGCUUCAGCAGCCCAGACCAGGGCCCAGUGCCCAAAGCAAAGGCUGUUUUGCACAGUCUAGCCAGCACCCCAUGAUCACCACUACUAACUCAGUUCCCUCCUGGGGAGCAAGGAUGUGAGACCCGAGGCAAGUCAUCAGCAGGAAAGAAAAGCAGCAGAGGCAGGGAAAGGCACUUAUUACAUCCUGAGGUGUCCAAGACUCAUCUGCAAGAUGGCUGGUGCACCCCGAGGCACCUCACAGUUCUCCACAGGCUUGGCUUUUGCACAGCUGGGACUGCUUCCCGAGCCUCCUCCCCUCCCUGCCCCACUCUGGCCUGCACCCUGCUCUCCCACAGGAAGCAGAGAAAGCCUAAAAGCAAUCAGAACACUCUCCCAUGGCCACCUAACCUCAACGGCAGGCCCCCGGGCUCAGAGUGCUACAGAGGUGCGGCGGCGUUGGGUAAGAAGUGCCAGCCCACCACCCGCCUCCCGGUACUGAUAAUGUCAGGAUCAUGUUUUCGAGCCACUAGAAUGAAAACUCAUUCUGGCUUUCUUUCACAACAAAGACAGAUGAACCAUCUGAAAAGAGUUUCAUCGUAAUAAAUUUAUUUUAAUUUCCUUCAAACAUGAGAGAUCAAACAUAUACAGAUUUAUCUUCACUGCAAAGAAAAAGAGAUCCUGGGUAAUAUGCGAAUGUGUUCCUUCUGUGCCAUCCUGUGGCUUUAAAUAACAAAAAAGGAGGGUUUCAUGUUCAAAAAGACACUGUUCAAGUGACAAGGUCUCUUAAUACUUUUUCUGUUCCCCAAACACACUGCAAAUACUUCUGAGCAGCAUCUCUCACCCACUGGAGGCUACCAGUGCUGCUUAAAAAAAUCACAUAAGAUGAGCCAAUGAUUUUAAAGUUUUCACUCAUUUCUUUGGCUUAAUAGCCAUAAAUCAUACAUUAAAUCAGCAUCUGAUUUGAAUGUGAAAUUUUCCUUCAAUAUGCCAAGACAUGUCUGGUGGCCCUAUCAGGCAAGUCACUCACCAGGACUUGACAUGACAACAGAGGCUGUGGGGCGAGUGGGGCUGAAGACUGUCCUCUUCCCAGAGUCCAAGUAAACUCAUCUCUCGGGUAAUUCAGACCUUAGUGGUGGAUCAAUUCGUGAGCCCCAGUGGUGAUAACACUAAAACCAAUUCCCCUGCACAGACUGAGUCAUCAGACUAAAUAUUGCCACUUUAACACUUAGUGAGUAAGAAUUAGAAUGUCAGGGAAGAGCUUUCCAAGCAUUCAUCAUUCUCCUUUGCUUCCUCUAAGAUAUUCAUAUAACAACUCCCUAAGACCCACACCAAAUAAACUCACCAGACCGACAGCUUGGUGGAGCAAAUGUCGUGCACGUGAAUCACGCUCCAUCUAGACUAUAAUAUAUCUACCCUCCACUGUAAGGACAUGAUGAGGGCAGAGAUGGUGGGGGCUGGGGAAGGGGGGACAUGGAGGAGGUAAUGGGGCAGGUUAGACAAUACCCAAAGCAAAAAAUGGAUGUAACAACAGAAAACACAUUAAUGUAUUUGCUAUACCAGUGAAAUCAUGACAAUAGCUUCUGGGUACAUCUUCCUAAGCAGGUAAUGAAACAUCCCGUGUGUAUCUAGUAUGUGACUGUGAGCUCCUUAAAGACACUGUGGCUUAGGAAGAGGAACCCCAGAGGGGAAGACUGGGCAGCAUUGCCCAGUGGGAGAAAGUAGCCUAUUCGUGCUCACCUUAAAAUGAAGGCGCGUGACAUACGGCUCAGAAGUCUGAGUAGCUGCUGAGCCAGGACUAAGUCAAACUGCGAAACAUGUCAAGACAGUCCCUUGGCUUUUUACCCCUCUCCCACAGUCCCCAUGCAGACCACCUACUGGGAGGCCCCACCUCACGUUCCCCUCCCGGAGAGCACCUCCUGCUCCAGAACCAACUGUUGAGAGCAAGACCUUGGAAGUCAGAAAGACUCUGGGUUCAAAUCACAGCAUGACCACUUUCUGCGACUCCUCGGCUCCAUCAAGUAAGGCCUUAAACCUCCUUUCCCUGGGCAUAAAAUAGGGAUAUGAGACCAUCUCCAAAAGCUGCUGUGAUUUUUCACAAAAUAAAAACAAGCAAAAAAAUCAUGGUAGACUCCAAAAGUGUCUCUUCCUUUCACCCUCUGGGCCACUAGGCCCUUAGUUUCCAAGGUUAAUCUGAUGAAUUGAUCUGACAAAACCAGCAGCUACUUGGCUGGCUGAUCUUUAGCUACCUGCCUCCCCCAGAGAAGAGAGAGGCUGGAAAGGGAAAUUGGAUGGUGGAGGUGGGGUGAGAGCCCUGGCAGCCUGUCCCCCAGGUGGAUGCAGGCCAGCGUCAGCCAUCCUAUGGGGAAGGCUGGCUUCCCACGGUGAUCUCGUCAGGGCGACUUCCCCUCUGCCUGCUGCGGAACACAGCCUAAGACUGAAGAGGGCAGCACCACAGGCUCUUCUCAGAAGGGCACAUUGUGACAUUGGGUCAGCACGGAGUCAGAGGCACACCUGAAACUUAAAGCCCUUGCAGCCCAGAACCCAUGCUGCUCUGCCCAACUCUGCACCUGCAGGCACCCCUACUCAACUUCCAACAGGGGUCACUUUCUCAGGUACCAGGAUACAGGACUUGGAGUCACCUUUUGGGGGGGACCUAAUUCAAGUCUGCAGUGCCCAUCACACGGGGUUCUUCAGAUUGAAAGAAACAAUGCCUGGGGCAUGCUCUGAAUGGUAUUACUCCUGUGGUCAACAGUAACAGUCCAUGUUCCUAUCUUUCUCUGGUCUGCCAUCUUUCUCUUGUCUAGGAAGUCUUAUCGUCUUCCUGGUACCUUUUUCCAAAAAGGACUUGAGACAAUUCAGACCCCCUCUAGACUACAAACCCCUUAAGAUCAGGGACCAGGCUCAUUGGCAUCCACUUGCUAAGUGCCCCCAUUGAGUGUAGGGGAACAGUCUCAGCAGGGAGACCACAGGUUCCGAUGUCAGACAGACCCAAGCUUAGAACAUGGUUCUGCCACUUUCUCAGGGUAUAAUGCUGGAAAGUGAAGCAAUGUCUAGGUCUCACGUUAUCAUCUGAGGAGCAGAGGUAUUGCAGGAAAGUUAUGAACACCUCAGACAACACAUAGGUAGCCCAGUGUGGCCAGCAAGUAGUAUGUGCUCCAUAACUACUGUCACCUUAUUGGUGCUCAGCAACUGUUUGGCUCAAUAAAUAUCUGAUAACUAGAUAAAUGGAUAGCACCAGCCACUCCUCUCCCAACAGAGGCACCAGGUCACACUAAGUUAUGACACCCAGCCCUCAUUCCUGAGAUUGAACCCACAACCUCCCCUCGUCCACAGCCUCUAGGAAUGGACACCCCAACUGCAGAAUGACAAACUACUCCACUCAACCAUUUUUCAGGCAUUCACUGAACACAUGCCUUGCUAUGAAUCUACCAUGUGCCAAGCACCUCCUGGUGGUCUUGAACAGGGGUCAGCAAACAUUUUUCCAUAAAGGGCCAGAGAGUAAACAACUUGGGCUUUCUGGACCAUAUGGAUCCCACUGCCACCACUCAACUCUGCAUUACAGCAUGGCCAUGUUCCAGCACCACUUGAUUUAUAAAACCAGGUGUUGGGCAAUAGUCUGAGACCCCAACUUCUGAGGAUAUACAAAUGAGUAAGACUCAGUAGUCACGUGAUGAUGGACAAAACUCCCACAGAGAAGACAGGACAAGCUAAGAACAGAAGUCUCUCAUUCCCCCCUCAGGCUGAACUAGGUCCUACCUUGUCCACCCAGGACCAAUUAAAACUGCACCUAAAACCGAGGACAAACAGGAACAGUUAAGCCAAGACUCUCUGUCUGUAGCAUAGAGGAAAUAUUUAUAAUAUCAAUUCCAAUCAGCAUAUAGGAAGAGUCUGUUCACAACCACAUGACACAAGCACAGCAGACCCGCUCCCUCACAGGCCCACACCUAAUAGACAAGAGUUUCAGCUGCUGGGUGAAAGCAUGGUUCUAGCUGCUAACUGAAAAGACCACAAACCAUCCAAACCCAUGGAAUACACAGAAACCCAUGAAACACCGGCAUCCCUUCCAACGUUGAGCCAGGUUCUUCCUAUGUUCGUUGAUCUCUGUGUGCAAAGCGGGAGCUGCGGUUGAUGUCAUAAGAUACUGAAGAGCAAAGGCAAAGUCAUUCAAUGACAUUUUUAAAAAUGACUGUUUUUCUCAACUGUCCAGGGUUUGAAGGCCCAUGAUGACUCAGGCCAUCUUAUACCCUUGGAGACCACACGGUAUAAUGGCAUUUAAGGCUCCAAGCCCAUGGAUUUCCCUCCAGGUCUGCCCAGUGGCAUGUCAGCCACUCACCCCUUCCAGCUCUAUGCGGACAUGGACUUGGUUUCCAUGUCUGGGAGACACUCACACACAACACCAAACGUGACACCUCUGGAGCCUCUGCCAGGGCUGGUGAUGCUGCUCUGCAAAACCCUCUUGAGUGCUCAGCUACCUCUUCAAAACAGUCAGAAUUAAUUUUAGACAAACAUUUAAGAGAAAAGGAAAAUCUAUCUGGAGGACUUGCCAAUGCUCACAGCUGUGACAGUGACAAGAAAAGGGCGGCAGAAGACAGAACUCGCUGCAGACCAUUCACUUGUCAUCACAUACCAUCUCUGCACAAAUUGGCAUAAUUUAGGUAGGCAAGAAAAUAGGCCAACUACAGCAAAACACCUAAGGCUCAUUCCAAAGACCAAUCAAGACAGGAUGUAAAAGGGACAAAUAAAGCGCACUGCCGCACACUUCCUGAGAGAUGGGUUUUAUCAUAGUCUUAAAAAUGAUAAUCCAAGGAUCUCGGCCAUCUUUAAAAUAGUAUAGAAGCACCUCCAACUGUCACAUGCUCGACAGUCACCCAGGACUAGAAGGACCAAGAGCUUUCCAGAGUACCAGGACACUUUGCCCAGGUCCUGUCUGCCCCUGGGAAGCUUACGGCCUUCUCCUCUGGUAGGCACUGUCUCCCUCCGUGGUUCCUGCAUUUUCAUCCCUGUUCUCUAACACUGCUUGGACUUGCUUUAAGCUCUGAUGGCACAGUGAACGACUGAACCACCUUUCAUCAGGGUUCCAGGUGUCAAUGCUGAGAUGAAACAGAAGCUGGAGAAAACUCUGGCUUUGCUAAUGUCACAUGCAUGGUUCCAACACUGGACAAGCAAUCCCAAAGCUGGGGGCAAUGGAAAGAGGCCCCACUUAUGACCAUUACUAUGAGCCAAGGAUGUAUGGAGCACCACACAGCAGCAUCCCCACUUCUCACAUGUGGAGCCACAAUGCUGCAAGACGCAGGGCUGGUGCUCCAAUCCAGGCCUCUUAGAUGCCAAAAGUGCUGCUAAGGAAUGGACUGGAUGCAAGUCCCUGCGGGUUGGGCUAUAGAAUAAAGACCAGAUCAUCUUGGUUGACCACAUCAUCCAGGUUCCAACACAGCUUAGCAGUGCUGUGCUAACAGCCAAGAGCAGAUGAACUCUCAUUAAGGUUCACAUAGGGACAGACAGGUUCCAAGCAUGAAUGAUGCAUUUAUGGGAGAAAUCUUAAGCUAUAAAUGGUACCAACAAAUUCUGGAAUGUGAGAAUGUCAGGGAACCACUGCCUCAUCCUCCUCCACUCUCUGGCAUCCCACCCACCCAGAGGCAUGCACAUGGGCCAGGGCAUAUCUCCAUGUCCCCUUAAUUCCACACAGGACUUUACAUUCUUCCUUACUCUUGUACACAAUCCCACAUCUUUGUCCUGUGUUCUCUAUUAAGUUAGAGGAGAACCUUUCUCCUGUUCUCUCAACAAGGGACUCUGCAACCUGGGGGUACUUAGGGAUUUUCUAUUUAAUAAAAAAGGGCAAAAUACAAGACAAGUUGGCAGACAGAAAUCCCCUGUGGCCUGAGACAAGGUCACAGAGGAGUCAAUGUGAGGAAAUGAUGCUUGCCUGGAAGCUCUACAUAUCUAUAAGCAAAUAAAGGCCAUUUGUUCCCGUGACUGCUAACGCAAUGACCCCAGGGACCCAAAUAGCCUCCCGGCCUAACUCAUAUAUAUUUUUAAUGAAAAAUUGCAAAUUAGAUUAGCUUAAUUUGACCACAUCUGCCUUUUUAAACAAAGGAAAUUACCAUUUUAAUGGAAUGCCAGCUAUUUGUCUAAAGGAGAAAGGUCCUUGUGAGGUCUGCUUUGCCUGUUCUAUUUCCAUUUUUAAAAGAGAAAAAGAGGACUGCAGGGCAGAGGGCAGUUGGUCAGGCUUGAAAAACACACAGGAGUUGUGGCAAGCAUGACAAAGGGGCUUAGAAGCACCAGGGAAACCCCUACCUGCAGAGAUGUUCUC
rnacentral:lncRNA from 1 species